CACGUAGGGUCCGAGCGUUGUCCGGAAUUACUGGGCGUAAAGCGCACGCAGGCGGCUGUGCACGUGGGGUGUGAAAGCUGGCGGCUUAACUGCCAGACGCCACCUCAUACGGCACGGCUCGAGCCCGUGAGAGGUCCACGGAAUUGCCGGUGUAGUGGUGAAAUGCGUAGAGAUCGGCAGGAACACCCAGGGGGAAACCAGUGGACUGGCACGGUGCUGACGCUCAGGUGCGAAAGCGUGGGGAGCGAACCGG
rnacentral:rRNA from 1 species